UUGGGACCCGGCUCCCCUCCAGUAGUGAUCUCCUCAUAUUCCUCCAGUGCUAUCCUAAAUGAACUCCACGUGUCUUUUUAAUUUUUAACGGACCAGAUGCAUUUUGCUAACCCAAUUAAUAUUAACCAUAGUUACCAGCAUUUCUCUAUCCUCUUUCUUCAGGCUCCCCUCCAGUGGUAAUCUCCUCCUGUCCCUCCAGUGCUAUCCUAAAUGAACUCCACUGUCCUGUUAAUCUUUUAAUGGACCAGAUACAUUUUGCUAACCCAAUGAUAUUAACUAUGAUUAAUAUUAUCUCUCACUUCGGUCCUUCCUUCUCACUAUUUCGGGGCGGAACGAAAGCAGUGAAGAAAGAGGAUAGAGAAAUGCUGGUAACUAUGGUUAAUAUUAAUUGGGUUAGCAAAAUGCAUCUGGUCCGUUAAAAAUUAAAAGGACACGUGGAGUUCAUUUAGGAUAGCACUGGAGGAACAUGAGGAGAUCACUACUGGAGGGGAGCCGGGUCCCCCGUCUUGAACCUACCAUUCCAAAAUGUACUCAAGUAGUUGAAGGCAUUGUUUGACUGUGCUUAGUUUGUUGCCUUAUUGAUUUAGUUAUUUUUGCAUACAAAUUAUUUGAAGUUAAAAGGACGAUGUCAGAUUAUAUUCAUUGUUGAAUAAAGAGAAAAAGUUCAAAUUUGCUCUUGUA